rnacentral:rRNA from 1 species
UAAUACGAAGGGGGCUAGCGUUGUUCGGAAUUACUGGGCGUAAAGCGCACGCAGGCGGUUUGUUAAGUCAGAUGUGAAAUCCCCGGGCUCAACCUGGGAACUGCAUUUGAAACUGGCAAGCUAGAGUCUCGUAGAGGGGGGGUAGAAUUCCAGGUGUAGCGGUGAAAUGCGUAGAGAUCUGGAGGAAUACCGGUGGCGAAGGCGGCCCCCUGGACGAAGACUGACGCUCAGGUGCGAAAGCGUGGGGAGCAAACAGGAUUAGAUACCCUGGUAGUCCACGCUGUAAACGAUGUCGAUUUGGAGGUUGUGCCCUUGAGGCGUGGCUUCCGGAGCUAACGCGUUAAAUCGACCGCCUGGGGAGUACGGCCGCAAGGUUA